rnacentral:rRNA from 1 species
GACGAACGCUGGCGGCGUGCUUAACACAUGCAAGUCGAGCGGUAAGGCCCUUUCGGGGGGUACACGAGCGGCGAACGGGUGAGUAACACGUGGGUGACCUGCCCUCAGCUCUGGGAUAAGCCUGGGAAACCGGGUCUAAUACUGGAUAUGACUCCAUGACGCAUGUUGUGGGGUGGAAAGCCUUGUGCGGCUGAGGAUGGGCCCGCGGCCUAUCAGCUUGUUGGUGGGGGUGANGGCCUACCAAGGCGACGACGGGUAGCCGGCCUGAGAGGGCGACCGGCCACACUGGGACU